rnacentral:lncRNA from 1 species
GGAAAGCACACGGUUUUGCUUGGAUCUCUGGGCUGGCCACGUGGCCAUACGUUCAGCACUCCAAUAGGCCUGGUCCUGGAGGCAGACAGAGAGUGAGUUAGGGCAGCAAACAGGAUCUGAAAUGGCCCCCUGCUCUGGAGAGGCCCCUCCAUGUAAACAGUACGAGUUUCUGGGAAACGUACAGAAGGCCAGGCUGUCGGGAAAGG